rnacentral:rRNA from 1 species
GAUGAACGCUGGCGGCGUGCCUAAUACAUGCAAGUCGAGCGAACAGACGAGGAGCUUUCUCCUCUGACGUUAGCGGCGGACGGGUGAGUAACACGUGGAUAACCUACCUAUAAGACUGGGAUAACUUCGGGAAACCGGAGCUAAUACCGGAUAAUAUAUUGAACCGCAUGGUUCAAUAGUUAAAGACGGUUUUGCUGUCACUUAUAGAUGGAUCCGCGCCGCAUUAGCUAGUUGGUAAGGUAACGGCUUACCAAGGCGACGAUGCGUAGCCGACCUGAGAGGGUGAUCGGCCACACUGGAACUGAGACACGGUCCCGACUCCUACGGGAGGCAGCAGUAGGGAAUCUUCCGCAAUGGGCGAAAGCCUGACGGAGCAACGCCGCGUGAGUGAUGAAGGUCUUCGGAUCGUAAAACUCUGUUAUUAGGGAAGAACAAAUGUGUAAGUAACUAUGCACGUCUUGACGGUACCUAAUCAGAAAGCCACGGCUAACUACGUG